rnacentral:ncRNA from 2 species
AGCUGAAUAAGCGAAGAAGGUCUGUUGCUCCACACGAUGCAACAGUUAAAAGGGAAGCUGGUUAAAGUCCAGCGCGGUCCCGCCACUGUAAUCAAUGAAAGUAGAUUCAUUGAAAGUCAGACACCUGCCCUCUAUGCUUGUGAAGA